GGAGGAAUUGAUGAUUCGACAUAAGAAUUUAGGCCAGUGGAUAGAGGUGGGUCCACCUGAUAUUUUAGCCCAUGGAAUUUUAACGGUGGUCUAACCUAAUGAACCCUUCAGAUCUGUUAUGUGGCGGGAUGACACGAGUGGAGGUAGCCUCCUCUCCAUGCUACCCGCGCGAACACCGUCUUCUCUCUGUUGAUUCUAUCCCGUCUAGUAAAAUCAUCAAAAUCAAAGCAAAAGCAACCCUCAACGCAUUUAAAUACUGUCCCUUCUCACUCCAAACCCAUCACCCUUCUCAUAUCCUCCUUUCAAAACGCCCUGCUACUGGGAAAAAAAAAAAAACAGAGAAAAACCAUGUCCUUUCCCAAUCCAUAGUCAUUUGGAUUUCAUCUCUCUUGCAUUGAGAUUUGGUAAUCCUUUCUGGGUUUUGGUGGGUUUUGUUUGAGAAGAAAAACUCGUCUUUCAUUCUGUGUUUUUCAAGCUCUAUACAUUGUAAACUCAAGUUUCCUGUACUCAGGCUUGAAUAAUAUUUCUGGGUUUUUGUUGGUUUUGUUCGGGGAAAAAAAAAAACCGUCUCUCUUUCUGUGGUUUUCGAGCUCUAGAAAUCAGUAGCUGAGGCUCUGCGCAUUAGAAAUUCUUAGUUUUGGUGGGUUUUUGUUGGGAAUUUCAAUGGACAAUACGAACCUUUAUAGAGUGGGAAGUUUGCGGCGGAAUGGCUCUUCGAUGUGGAGGAACACCACUGUCGAUAGUGUUUUCUCGCAGUCUUCUCGUGAGGAAGAUGACGAAGAAGCUCUGAAGUGGGCGGCUCUCGAGAAGCUCCGACGUACGAUCGAAUUAGGAAAGGGAUACUGAGUGGAGUCUCUGGUGAGGAGCACAAGGAAGUCGACAUUCAGCAUCUCGGGUUUCAAGAGAAGAAGACCGUGUUGGAGAGAUUGGUUAGAGUCGCCGAGGAGGACAAUGAGAAGUUCCUUUUGAAGCUGAAGAACCGAAUCGAUAGAGUUGGAAUUGAGGUGCCAACCAUUGAAGUCCGCUACGAGAAUUUGAAUAUUGGAGCAGAAGCCUACGUCGGUAGCAGAGGUUUACCGACCGUCCUCAAUUUCACCUUUAAUAUACCCGAGGGAUUCUUGAAUUAUCUCUACAUUCUUCCGAGCCAAAAGAAACCAGUAUCAAUCCUUCAUCAUGUUAGCGG